GCAACGAAGAAGAAGAAAAAGAAGAUGAUUUUGGCCAAUCAGAAGCUUGAAUAAAAGCUAUUACCGGAAGGCUACCUGGCUGAAAUGGCGCA